rnacentral:rRNA from 1 species
UGGGGGAAUAUUGCACAAUGGGGGAAACCCUGAUGCAGCCAUGCCGCGUGUGUGAAGAAGGCCUUCGGGUUGUAAAGCACUUUCAGUAGGGAGGAAAGGGUGUAACUUAAUACGNUAUAUCUGUGACGUUACCUACAGAAGAAGGACCGGCUAACUCCGUGCCAGCAGCCGCGGUAAUACGGAGGGUCCGAGCGUUAAUCGGAAUUACUGGGCGUAAAGCGUGCGCAGGCGGUUUGUUAAGCGAGAUGUGAAAGCCCUGGGCUCAACCUAGGAAUAGCAUUUCGAACUGGCGAACUAGAGUCUUGUAGAGGGGGGUAGAAUUCCAGGUGUAGCGGUGAAAUGCGUAGAGAUCUGGAGGAAUACCGGUGGCGAAGGCGGCCCCCUGGACAAAGACUGACGCUCAUGCACGAAAGCGUGGGGAGCAAACAGGAUUAGAUACCCUGGUAGUCCACGCCGUAAACGAUGUCUACUCGGAGUUUGGUGUCUUGAACACUGGGCUCUCAAGCUAACGCAUUAAGUAGACCGCCUGGGGAGUACGGCCGCAAGGUUAAAACUCAAAUGAAUUGACGGGGGCCCGCACAAGCGGUGGAGCAUGUGGUUUAAUUCGAUGCAACGCGAAGAACCUUACCUACUCUUGACAUCCACGGAAUUCGCUAGAGAUAGCUUAGUUGCCUUCGGGAACCGUGAGACAGGUGCUGCAUUGGCUGUCGUCAGCUCGUGUUUGUGAAAUGUUGGGUUAAAGUCCCCGCAACGAGCGCAACCCCUAUCCUUAUUUGCCAGCACCGUAAAUGGUGGGAACUUCUAGGGAGACUGCCGGUGGAUAAACCGGGAGGAAAGGUGGGGGACCGACGUUCAAGUCAUUYAUGGGCCCUUACCGAGUUAGGGGCUUWACACCACCG